rnacentral:misc_RNA from 1 species
UCCGAGUUGACCCCGGCAGUCUCCUACGAGUCCCCGGCAUUAUCCGCUGGCAACAUAGGACAAGGGUUGCGCUCGUUGCGGGACUUAACCCAACAUCUCACGACACGAGCUGACGACAGCCAUGCACCACCUGUGAUCGUGUCCCGAAGGAAAACCGUGUUUCCACGGCGGUCACGAACAUGUCAAGCCCAGGUAAGGUUCUUCGCGUUGCGUCGAACUAAACCACAUGCUCCGCUGCUUGUGCGGGCCCCCGUCGAUUCCUUUGAGUUUUAACCUUGCGGCCGUACUCCCCAGGCGGUCAACUUCACGCGUUAGCUUCGUUACCAAGGGAAUCAAUCCCCCGACAACCAGUUGACAUAGUUUAGGGCGUGGACUAC